rnacentral:rRNA from 1 species
AUUGAACGCUAGCGGGAUGCUUUACACAUGCAAGUCGAACGGCAGCGCGGACUUCGGUCUGGCGGCGAGUGGCGAACGGGUGAGUAAUGUAUCGGAACGUGCCCAGUAGCGGGGGAUAACUACGCGAAGGCGUAGCUAAUACCGCAUACGCCCUACGGGGGAAAGCAGGGGAUCGUAAGACCUUGCACUAUUGGAGCGGCCGAUAUCGGAUUAGCUAGUUGGUGAGGUAACGGCUCACCAAGGCGACGAUCCGUAGCUGGUUUGAGAGGACGACCAGCCACACUGGGACUGAGACACGGCCCAGACUCCUACGGGAGGCAGCAGUGGGGAAUUUUGGACAAUGGGGGCAACCCUGAUCCAGCCAACCCGCGUGUGCGAUGAAGGCCUUCGGGUUGUAAAGCACUUUUGGCAGGAAAGAAACGUCGCGGGCUAAAACCCCGUGGAACUGACGGUACCUGCAGAAUAAGCACCGGCUAACUACGUG